GACAGUAUACUUGCUUAGUAAAAAGAAAAACAAACACACAUAAGAGAGAAGGGUGUAUACUAUACAUCAUGGAGAAAAUACGUUAGAAGAUUAUUUAGAGGUGAAGUUAUCCAAAUUCCUUCUCUCCGAGAUUGAGAACAUUCAGGCCCCUAGAAACAGAAUAUGCUACCUGCUCAAGGAGACAAGCUACAGAAUGUAACCUAAGUGGGGCCACCUGCUCAGUGACCUGGAAUCUCUGCCCUCUUGACGCCUGUCUGAAUGGCCCCUCCCAAAUUCCCUAACAUAAGGAGAUACUAGAUGUGGCUCUCUCAACUUGGGACUCCCCAGCCUCCAGAACUGUAAGAAAUACGUCUCUGUUCUUCAUAAGUUAUCUAGUGUAGUAAUCAUUUGCCCCUCACUAUGCCAAAAUAGCCAACACUCACAACUUAAAAGUGAAGAGAUUUAUACUGCAGUGUUCAUGGUUUCCAGAGGAUUCGAUCCAUGAUUGUCUGGCUCCAAGGCACGACGGAAGGGCAUGACAAAGAAGCCUGCUCACCUUAUGUGAGAAAAGGGAGGAACCAGGGACAAGAAUUCACCCAUCCCGGGAAUGUUCCAAUGAUUCAAGUCUCCAACCAGGCCUUUUCUCCUAAUAGUACAUGAACUACUGAGUUCAAAAAUAGAUGAAUCCACUGAUGAGCAUAUUGUCACCAGGAUCCAACCACCUUCCAAACAGAUAAGGCUUUUGAUGGACAUUUUCAACCAAAAGACAACACUUAUUCUUGGGGUAUUCUGUUAUAGAGCAGAAAACAGACUGAGGCAUCAUGCAUUCUGAAAUUCUAGGUAUAAAGCCAUAUUUUGUUGUUUUACAACAUGGAAUUGAAAAAAAUAUGUCAGCACUUGUAACAGUGAUUUAUGUAGAAACUUAAGUGAAUCAAUGAAACUUAAGGUGAGAAUAUCCACUGUCAAAUUCUAUUUUAAAGUGUUGAAGCCAGGCAUGGUAGCACACAUCUGUAAUCCCAGCACUCGAGAGGCUGAGGCAAGAGGAUCACUGAGAGUUUGAGACCAGCCUGGGCUACAAAGUGAGCUCAAGGCCAGCCUGAACUGCGUAGCUAGACCCCGUCUCAAAAAAACGAUGAAAAAAAAAGUGUUUCAAUGACAAACAUUGUACAUGUUCAAGAUAUACAAGGUGGUGAUCUUAUUACAUGUAUAUAUUUUUCAAUGAAUGCCAUAAUCAAAUUAAUUUACAUAUCCAACACCUCCCGUGAGUUCCUUGUGGUCCUCAGAACUAGCUGGUCUUAUAAUUAGAACUCAUAUACUCUGGCCACCAUUUCCCAUUUUCCUGGUAAACAUUGCCCUUCCCUCUGUUUCUAUGAGUUUGAGUUUUUUAGAAUCUAUCUGUGUCUGUGUUAUUUCAUUUAACAUAAUGUCCUCCAGGUUCAUCAGUGGUGUCCUAAAACAGCAGGAUUGCUCUCUUUUUUAUGACUGCAUGUGUCAAUAUUACAAAUAUUCUCACUUUUACCUCAUGCAUGAUGUUGACAGUUUGUUUUUAUGUCUUAGUCAUUGUCAAUAAUGCUGCGAUGAGCAUAGGAGUAGAGGUAUCUCUUUGGAUCUUAAUUUCAUUUUCCGCAAGUGGGAUUUACAGGUAAUAAUUCAGCCUCUCCAUGCCUGCUGUUUUACAUAAUGGCUGAAUUAUUGGUGGAUUCGCAUUCCUAGAAAAAAUGUGCAGAGAUGUCCUUUUCUUCACGCCCUCAUGAGCACUUUUCAAUCUUUCAUCAUCUUUACGAUGGCCAUCCUAGCAGAUGUGAUUUGAUAUGUCACUGGUGUUUUGAUUUUUAUCUCUCUGAUAUCUAAUAAUCCUGAAAUCUUUCCAUAUAUCCUUUAGGCAUUUAAAUUUCUUCAGUAGAAAAAACCUUUUCAGGUCUUUUGCCCACUUUUAAAUCAAAUUGUUUCUGCUUUUGGUACAGAAGUGUGUAAGAAGUUUAUGUCAAAUUUUUGUUACUGAAUCAACAUGGUUAGUUUUCAUUCUACACAACAAAAAGCAUAUGCAUUGUUUUAAGUGAAGAAUUCAAGCACUUAAGAUUUGCAGUUUCUACUGUGUUUUUACCUGACUGUUUACCCCAAGGAGUAAACUCAUCUUGCCUUACUGGAAAAAUCAGUCCGUAGAGUUGUUAUCAUCAAGAAUUUAUCAGAAAGGUUGAGCCACUGCUGACUUCUAAGCCUGUGGCUGCACACAGUUGGAGAGCACAUACCAGAUGCUUUGUCUUAGAGAACAGGAGUUGUGUGUGGUGACAAAUGCUGCAAUGCUCUGAAGCACCAAUUACUAACUAUUUAAAGAUGAUGUUAUCCCCGCAGUAGAACACAGAGCCUGAUGAUGAAAAAUCUGAUUCUCUUGCAGGAGUCAAGUAUUCCCACACUCGCUGUAGCAGGCCUUUAUGAUCCGUAUUAAUCACAAGAUUCUGUAGGGAAUUCUUGUCUAGUGAUAAGCUUAAGGCAUUAAUUAAGUCACUACAUACGUGAUGCUGGAGUUGUUCACUCUGUUUGUAAUGCAUACUUGUCUACUGGUCUGAAUUAAUAGAACAGAGAGCCGAUGCCCCAGCUUCCUAUCUCCAAAGAAGCCAACCUGGGGGGUGCCACCCAGCUACGGACUGAAUUGUGUUCCUCUUCAAAAUCCAUAUGUUGAAACCCUAUAUUAGCUAAUAUUUUAGUAUUAUAACAAAAUAACCAAGACAUUUGAUUAUAAAGAAAAGGAUUUUACUUAUGGCUUUGGGGCUGCACGGCUGAAUAACAUGGCACAGGCUCUGGCAAGGGCUGCUCUCUAUAUAACCUAUGUUGGGCUGCAAUGGGGAGAGCACAAAGCUUAUCUUAUCUCCUUUAGGAGGCAGCUUCUGCAGUAACCCAAGGAGCUUCCAGUAGGCACCACUCCUCCAAGGUUCUACCACCUCUCAUUGCCUCUCUGAGGAUCAAGACUUUAAAACAGACUUUUCAGGUCACCCCCACCAUAUUUACAACCCUAACCCCCACUGCCUCCGAAUGUGACAGACAUGGAUACAAAGUCUUUAAGGAGGAAAUUAAAUGAAAAUGAUACCACUAGAGUGGACCUUAAGCCAGUCUUGCAUAUCAUUCUAAGAGAAGAGGAUGUUUAGCCAGGCAUUGGGACUCUAGGUAUGUGCUAGAUAGGCCACGUGAAGAUACAGCAAGAAAUGGGUCUCCUACUAGUCAAGGAGAGAGCUCUCAGAAGGCAGCAAGCUUGCCAAAACGCUGAAAUUGAACUCCAAAACUCUGAAGAAAGUAAUUUCUGUUCUUUAAGCCACUUGGUCUAUGGCAUUUUAUCAUGACAGCCUUAGGAAACCAAUGCGUGCUUUCAUGAACGGUUAAAAAACGGCAAGUUCCCUAAUCAUUUUCCUUAGGGUAAACCAUUUAUGAGUUUACUAUACAUGACUCCAAAUUAGUCUGUUUCUUAGACACAGAGAAGCUCUCUUUAGAAAAAUUGAACAUUUCUGCAUCUCAGGGCCAUCGUCACCUUAUACAACUGACUGGGAACAGUAGCUGCUGCCUCCGUCCAAGAGGUGGUGCCCAGUCUCGCACAGCCCCUCCUCAUAUGCGCCAUUGCCACAUACUAAAUCGUUCUGCUUACUUAAAAUACCAGUCUAGCCUCUGUAAGCGUUUGAAUUUAGGAGUCUCGGAGAUGUCUGCUCAGAACCAAGCGGUUUCUAUCACGGAUGCAGAGCCAUCGAUCAGACGUCCCUGUGAGACUUGGCAGUGGCAGGCCAGCUAGGAACAUUUCCGCUAAAGCCAGCUGACAUUGAUUUUUGGACACACCUUCAGAGGAUAAAACAGAGUCACAAAAUCAAGGAAGCAAUAAUUCUUCUCCAGCGACUGCAAUUACUGGAGUAGAGUCACCUUGUAUAUAAACCAGAUGACAGAUAGUGAGGAUAGCCUUCUUUUCCUCUUGCUCAUUUUAAAAUUCAUGCACACUAAAGAAGGAAGAUUAUUAUGUGCCCAAAAGGUGAUAUUGUAGUUUACUAUGAAUCAUAGAGUUUUAGUCAAGAUUAAUUUUGUUUCAGAUAAAGUUCGUAGAACUGUCGUCCUUUGCUGAUUUGUGAUGCACCCAACACCACAUUAAUCCUCAAGCAAUUUUAAAAAGCUACAAGUAAUCAGAGAAGCAACCUCCAGAGAUAUUCUGUUAGCCCUAGGAACCUAGACUUCCUCACUUGGUCAAGGAAAAUCUCCAUAGAGAAAAAGCCAAGAUUGUGCUGAGGAAGUCAGAGUGGCACAGCUUGGCAACAAAUGCUGUCUCUUUUUCUCUGCCUCUCCCUGGUCAGCUAUUCCUGGCCCUCCUUGCUUUGCCUCAUUCUUUACUCUCAUUUAUUUAUUUUGCCUCCUUAAGCACUCUGGAAAGAUUUUCUUGGUGGUGGGGCAACGGAACACUCUCCAACUAGCAGGUUGGCCUCUUUGGUGGGAGGCUCAGGACUACCUGUGUAAUUUCAUUGAAACAGGUAUUAGCUGUAAAGGCUUUAAAGCAAAUGGUCAGCAUUGUGCAUUGAUCUAAGCCUCCUCAUAUGCUAAAGGUGCCAAAGAUUUAUUACAUUCUAAUGGCCAGAUAUUAAUUCAGUGACUGCAUGGACAAAAGUUAAACCUAUGUUUUCCAGUAACCACACACACACGCACAUCAAUAACAACCAGCCUUCUUCACUCCCCAUACACACACACACACACACACACACACACACACACACACUCACACACACAUGCACUCAUACACGUACACUAUUAGCUACUAUUCACUCACAUACCCAACAAUAACCACAAACACUAUCAACAAUUAUUCACAUUCACAUCUAAUAUGUUAGUUAGUUCACGGGAUCAUAACAGCACACUUUAGAAUGGUUGCUUAAACAACAGUCAUUUAUUUCUCACAGUUCUGGGGCUAAGAAGCCCAGCAGAUCCCUUUCCUUGGUUUGCAGACAACAUGGAACAGGGAGAGGAGUCUAGUUUCUUUCUCUUCUUAUAAAAAUAAGAAAAGCAACCAUCAUAAUAGCCCUGUUUUCACAACCUCAUUUAAACCUCGUGCCUCCCACAUGUCCAGAGAUCAGAGUUUCAGUACAUAAAUAUUUUAGGAAUAACAAUAUGCAGUAUAUAAUGCAUACCACAACAAAUGCCACCCUUAUGCAACACUCUGCCCUUACUCACGCAGUAUUUCAUAAUAUGCAUAUUAUACAAAUGUGUUACAAAAAUGUGGUCCUCAUAAAUUAAGUUGAAAAGAAUAUGAGGAGAAAAAAGAAAUAUUAAAAACUGAGCUCUAUAAUUUAGUUUCCACCUAUUAUGAGCACAUGUUUAUAUUAUAAUAUAUAAUAAUUACACUCCUUGUAGGAAGUUGGUACAUGUUCUUAUACCUUAAUUAUACCUUAAUUCUUUUUAUACAUUUGCCCUCCCUUUCCAUCUCUCUCCCUCCUUCUCUUGAUUCCUUUCCUCUUUGAAUAAAAUCUAUUUCUGUAAUUCCUAUUAUCUAUCUUUUAUUUUGGUCUUUAUUCAUGGUUUGGGUUUGUAGAGACACCAUAUGGUCGUUAAGCUUGCGUGACUGACUUAUUUCAUUUAGCAUGAUGGUAUUAAGGUACAUCCAUUUUCUUGCAAAUGACUCAAGUUUAUCCUGCUUUAUGUCAAAGGAGUACUCCAUUAAUAACACACUCUCUUUAUCCAUUCAUCUGUUGUUAGAUAUAUAGCCUGCUCACAAGAUUUAAUUAUUGUGAACUGUACUGCUAAUAAACUUGGGUAUGUAUGUGUCAUUGUAAUACAAUGUCUUCAACCCUUUCAGGAAGACACCUAGAAAAGGAGUAACUGGGUCAAGUGGAAGAGCACAGUUUUAGUCUUAUCUUUCUCUUUAUUUUAGAAUCUCCAACUCUGACUUCCAACUAACUCAGCUUCGAAUACAGACUUCUGAAGGGAAAUGCUUAGUUCAUUUGAGAGUAGCCAUUUUUCCUAUUUUUUCCCAAUUUGCAUCCCUUGCUGACUUCUAAAUAUAAGCCAAUCUAGACAAGAUAGUGUGUUGUAGGUACCAAUGAACUAACAAACUUUUAUCUGUGUUUUAUAUAAGAACCAAAACAUAUGUUCUCAUCUUUUAUGCCUUCUUGCCAAAAGGCAAUAAAUACUCCUUUACUAGUGAAAUGAUUCAGAGUAAGACAAUUAGGCAGCUUGAUAAGGGUAAGAGAUUGUGUAUUCUGUGGGUUUGGGAGGGUGUUUAGUGUUUUUCAAAAUAUAAUCUGAAUACAUUGCCCUUAUCUAAUUGGAAGGAGAUUAUCCCAAAGCUGUCAACUCAUGAUUACACCAAGCUUACCAUGCUCCGGAUCAUCUUGAGCUCUUUUUUUUUUUUCCCUCCUUCUGCCUACUCUUUCUCUUGUUUACUGCUUAUUAUCUUCAUCAGUAUCUAAAAGAGAAAGGUCAUGGUGAUAUAUACAUCAAUCUCUUCAUUUUAUCCUUGUACUUCUGCAAAGAAUUUAAAAGAAGAAUAAACUGAAGUAGAUUGAGAUGUAAAGAUCCCCUGAAGGUUUUAAUUAAUUCUGUACUCUUAUUCCUCCUCUGUUUGCACAAUUUAGAAUUGGUUGUGAGAUAAAUAUACCUUUAGUUUACCUUCCUUGGCUCGGAAUGAGAAAUUCUCUAACUUACCAAAGAAAAGGAAACAGUAAGCGCCACUGAAAUGGGUUUAUUACCCAAAAAAUGUGAUUUGCACUCUAUUUUUUGUCAAGCCCUGCCAUUCACAUCAAAGUUCUGAAAAUUCAACAUCUCUAGUAGGAAUUGACAUUAAUGUGAAUUACACCGGAAUUGUAUGUGUGACUAAUUUCAUAACUACACAAAGAGAUUAUCGCUGACCAUUGAUAAACUCUAUUUGAUAUGAAGGAAGUCUCCUAAAUCUCAUGAACUUCAGUAAAUUCACCUACAAUAGAUUUAUUCCACACCUUUAUAAUGGCAUGAUAUGUGUGAGUUUUGUAACUAUUCAAGGAGAUUCUUUUUUUUUGUCUUUUUAUUGGUACCGGGGAUCGAACUCACGACUGCCUGCUUCCAAGGCAGGCGCUUAUGCCGCUGAGCUAAAUCCCAGCCCCUCAAGGAGAUUUUAACACUUUAUUUUUUGAAUGUGAUUCAUGAUUAAUACAAUGAGUACAAUUAGCAAUUAAUAAUUAAUAAAAACAGUAUCAUAUUUCACAUAUAAAUUGUACACAGAAAGGUUACAAUCAAUUGGUCUGUAUUGAAUAGAAUAUCUUGACUGUCAACUUCCAUGAUAUUUAUUCCAUCACUCAAAUGUAAAGCAUUUAAACAAAUCACUGCAGAAUUUCUUGAGCCCAUGUUCUUUAUUUCAAUCAAUAUUUGUUUUCCCCAUAUUGCAAUACUUUGGAAAUCUUCUCAAGCUUGUUUCAAAUUAAUCUAUACUUUCCGCCAUGUCAAAAUAUUAUCAUUUCCUUAAUAUUAAAAAGCUGCUGCUGUAUGCCGUGAGGAUCCAUUGCUUCUAGUGGUAAAAACAGCUCAUUCUUUUCUCUGUUUACCAAGAAAAUUAGAAAUCAAAAUGCAUCAUGGCCAGAAGGUUCAGGGUUUAAGCUUAUGUGGAAGACAGCAUGAUAGUCUUGUUUUUUCUAAGAACGUAUUCUGAUUCUGAUCAUUCAGCUAAGAGCUGGAUCAAGGAAAUGUGAAAAUUUUAAGUUAAUAAAUGUAAAAUAUUUAAGUUAAUAUCCCAGACAAAUGUCUUAAAUCAGAUUUUUAUUGUCACACUUACAAUUUAAUGUGUAUCAAUAUCCACUGGUUAAAUUCACUAUGAAUUAACACUAGUAAAUGAACAAACAAUUUUAUGUGAAUAAAAACUGACAUUUGUAUUACCACUGAUAAAUAUAAUCCCACCAAUAAUACCUCACUGAGAAAGAAUAAUAACAACAACUACCAUCCAUUGAGCCUUUUGUAAGUUCCAGAUGCUACUCCAAGUGCCUGAUAUGGAUUAUUUCCUUGACGCUUCUGACAACCCCCAGCUGAGAAAUUGAGACAUACAGAGGUGGAGUGUCAUAUUUAAGGUCUUAAGAGUCAAUUAUUA